AUUGAACGCUGGCGGCAGGCCUAACACAUGCAAGUCGAACGAGUGGCGGACGGGUGAGUAAUGUCUGGGAAACUGCCCGAUGGAAGGGGAUAACUACUGGAAACGGUAGCUAAUACCGCAUACCAUCGGAUGUGCCCCGAUGGGAUUAGCUUGUAGGUGAGGUAACGGCUCACCUAGGCGACGAUCCCUAGCUGGUCGGAGAGGAUGACCAGCCAAACGGGAACUGAGACACGGUCCAGACUCCGACGGGAGUCAGCAGUGGGGAAGAGUGCACAAUGGGCGCUAGCCUGAUGCAGCCAUGCCGUGUGUAUGAAGAAGGCCUUCGGUUUGUAAAGUACUUUCAGCGGGUAGGCGUUACCCUCAGAAGAAGCACCGGCUACCUCCGUGCCAGCAGCCGCGGUAAUUC
rnacentral:rRNA from 1 species